AGAGUUUGAUCAUGGCUCAGGACGAACGCUGGCGGCGCGCUUAACACGUGCAAGUCGAGCGAGAACCAGUCCUUCGGGACUGGGGAAAGCGGCGAACGGGUGAGUAACACGUGGGUAAUCUACCCUCGGCACCGGAAUAGCCCGGGGAAACCCGGAUUAAUGCCGGAUGGCCUCUCUGCCCUUCGGGGCGGCGAGAAAAGGUAGCUUCGGCUUCCGGCCGAGGAUGAGCCCGCGGCCGAUUAGCUUGUUGGUGGGGUAACGGCUCACCAAGGCGACGAUCGGUAGCUGGUCUGAGAGGACGAUCAGCCACACUGGGACUGAGACACGGCCCAGACUCCUACGGGAGGCAGCAGUGGGGAAUCUUGCGCAAUGGGCGAAAGCCUGACGCAGCGACGCCGCGUGCGGGAAGAAGGCCUUCGGGUUGUAAACCGCUUUCAGGAGGGACGAAGCCACUCGGGUGAAUAGCCUAGAGGGUGACGGUACCUCCAGAAGAAGCCCCGGCUAACUACGUGCUAGCCGCCGCGGUAAUC
rnacentral:rRNA from 1 species